AUGAUUGCUGCUGUACUGGUAAAACAAAGCAUGUCAUACUUUGCCUCUCCUGUUCUGUUAGUGAAGAAGAAAGAUGGGACUUGGAGGUUUUGUGUAGAUUACAUAAGACUCAACUCGCUGACAAUCAAAAGCAAGUUCCCAAUGCCAGUAGUGGAUGAGUUGUUGGAUGAGCUGGCAGGUGCGAAGUGGUUCACUAAGCUAGAUUUAAGGGCAGGUUACCACCAGAUUAGAAUGGUCGAAGAAGAUGAAGCUAAGACUGCAUUUAAAACUCAUCAUGACCAAUUUCAGUUCAGGGUGAUGCCUUUUGGCCUCACUAAUGCACUAGCUACAUUUCAGUGUCUUAUGAAUGCCAUAUUUGCACAUUGUACAAGAAGAUUUGUACUCAUUUUCAUGGAUGAUAUUUUGGUUUUUAGUGAGGACUUGGAGUCUCAUAUAGAACAUCUGAGAUAA
rnacentral:rRNA from 1 species